GAGAAAAACAGGUUAUUGCUUCAAAAAAUGUUAUUCUUAAUCCUUUUCCACUAGUAUAGUUGAGCUUUUUAGCUAACAAUUUAGGCAAAUAAUACAGAUUUUUUUUUUGGUGAUCUGAUUUGACAGAAUUUCUUUAGUACAGUAAACUAUGAACAGCUUGGUUUCUGUGGCAAAUGAGACAAAAUAAGUUUAACAAUUGUUAAGGAAAUGGUUUCUAGCUACUCUAACUAUUUUCUUGUGCUAGAGACCACAGGAACUAAAAAGAAAGAGGAUCAAUAUUCUGUCAAUAUCAAUCAGGGAUAUUUUCUUUGCAGACAGAAAAAUCAUAAAACAUUCAUGUCAAAAGGAGAAAUAAAAAUAAUUCUUAUUCUAAGGGCUUCAACUGUUACUAUCUUUCAUAUUAUAAAUACAGUUCACAAUAAACUUGCACCUUUAGGGUGAACCUGCAGGACAGAGGAAAACUAAAAGACAAUUUGAAGAAUAAUGAACUUGGAAAUUGCACACAAAUUCAGGGAAACACCAAGCUGGAUUAGUCUAGUUCUUACUAGGAAACACCAGUUUCGUGCUGAAAAAUGCAGUGUCUGCUGGAGAGAGAUACACCAAGCACAUAAUUAACAAGCACUGCAUUUUCCAUCUGUCAGAAACUCUUUUGCCAAGGUGUCCAAACUGAGGAACUAAAAUUUGUGCCUACUGCAGGUGCUGUAGGAACUGCAGUGCUCCCUCUGGCACUGCUCUGUCCUGUGCUGUUCUGGGACAGCCCACCGCCCUUUUGCAGCACAGGAUAUUCUCUGCUAUUGUACUCAAGUGGGCAAAGACAAAAUUGGGAAUAAAUGUGAAUAAAACUGCUCCCAAGUAGGCCAGAGUAAAACUAAUUUACCUGUUAUAAUUUGCAUUAAAUUCAUUCCAGGGACUAAUGAAGACAUGCAAUCAAAUGAUUUCUCCUAGGAUUGAUUUAAGGAAGCAAUUUGAAAGUGAGGCUUAGAGGGGCGAAAAAAGAAGUUUUACCUAAUUCAAGACACUAAAAUAUUCUGUAUUAUAGAGAUUUUGGUCGUACUUUGUUGUUUGUAGUCUAGUAUGUGCAAACCCCCCACCAAGGACUGCCUUUUCCCUCUUUUGUUGUGUUCAACUGUUAACAAUAAUUGUCCAUGAUUGUGCAGCACAAUUGAUUUGGUCACCAAGCAGGUACAUCCUUCUGUGUAAGCUGGAGUGUAAAUAAUAGAAAUAAGAGGAUGAUUACAGUCAUCAUUGAUGUCUCCACUGCAUUUAAUCGACCUCAGGGAUUUUUCCAUUGCAGGAGAUAAAGUAACUAUAUGUGAAUAGUGGGUUAUUUGAUCAGUGAAGUGGUUUUUAAAUAGCCUAUACUUGAUUACUCCCUCAGCCUUGGAUUGGUGCCUCCACAGGUGCAUGAACUGCAUUUCUCUGAUUUCCUCUUCAUGCUUGGAAACCUGGUCAAAGCCUUGAAUGUGGGGAUAUGACAGUACAAAUGUUGUGAUUAUCAUCUGCAAUAAUGCAGCUUUGCUGUAGAGGAUAGAUUUAUUAAUGCUGAAUUAGGACCCAUUGCCUCACUGAAACAGUGCCAUCCUCCCUUCUGGAGAGGUCCCCACAAGGAGAAUGCCACGUGCUGCGUGGCACAAAUUCGUAGUGCAAUGAAACAAAAUUUCUGGAGCUUUCAGGCGCAGUAUUGAGCUGUAAGCAGUUUCUCUCAGGGCAAUGUGUGCAGGGAAGUUUGUUUUUAAGGGAGAAAGUUGCCUCAAGGGAACCAUUAGUAACAAACCCAUAAACUAGGGGUGAGAAGAAGAGAAGGCCUGUUUGAGGGCUAAUUCUGUCUCUGGUAGGCUCUGCUCUUAGACCCCUCUCAUGUUACCUUAGAACAAGAUGAAAAGUGACUGUGCUAAAGCCUAUGAAGGGCAUUUGUGACACGAGGAAUUCCCUGGUGCCUUACAGGCACUCAGCACACACUGUGAGAGCUGGAGGUAGCUGUAAAUGACAGGAAUCAGUCAUAUUAAGCUCAUGUUCCUCUUUCUCUGUUCUGAGAAAAUGAGCAGCUGCACCAGGAUUGCAUUCUUAUUUCUCAAAAGCGUCCAAGCACCAGGCACAGUGUUUGUGCUUCUUGCCACAAGUGGAGUUCUGAAUCAGGAGCCUCAUGGAUGUUUUCAGAUCUUAAUUGACUCCACAGCAGGCAUCCAGGCUUAGAGCAGAAAUCCACCACUGCAAAGAAACCAAAUGCUUUAGGGGAUCCUACACUGUGUACAGGGUUAACAGGGAAGCAGGAGGCCUUAUUUAUGUGGAGUACAGGAAUUGCCAAAGCUGAAGAAAUACUGUUUUCUUUCAAUGAUUAAUAUGCUCAGUAGAAGUGUAGCAUUUGCUGCCAGCUUUCAUUAACAGAUCAAUGGGAAACAAACCCGUGUGGUAGGGAGUGUGUCUGGGAACAGCUUAAACAGGACUGAGCUGCUUUAGAUUUCAGCUGUUUUCUUUAGCACAACAGUGUAGAGCACUUUCUUGUUUAUAGGAUAAACACAGGGGAUUGAAGUGAUCUGUGUAGCACACAGGAGAGGUUGCCAACCCAUAACAUUCUGCAGAAUGCAAAAAUUCCAUAGCUGCUCCCUUGGGAGUCAUAGGCUACAAUCUUCUUCCAUGUUGGUUCCAGUGUAAAUAGCAGUUAAAUCAUCAGGACAGACAAACUGCCAGGAAAACUUUGAAUAAAAUAUUAGUUCAUUUUCCUUCUUUCAUAACACAGAUUCAGCAGACUCAGAGCUCAGCCAGCUAUUGGUUCAGAAGUGGCAUUUCAGACCAAAUUAAUGUACGUGAUUUAAGCUUGAAGAGCAUUUUCCAACUAUUUGUCUUGCGCAUUACUGAAACGUAAAUGGUUGAAACAGCUCUCCAGUGACUGUUACACACUUCAGCUUGCCCAAAGGUGUCCUGACGUGUAAGGAGAGACGAGCAGGAGGAAUGGGGGAAAAACAAGCCCGGGGAUCUGAAGCCUCAGCCAUGACUGAUGAACUCAACAUAAAGCCACUGACUGAAGGGAAAAGAGACUCAGACAAAGAAUCUAUGUUAAAUGU